GUUGCCUCCUGGCCGUUUUGUUCUGGUAUGAGUCUCCAUGGGAUUAGAUGUUGUAGCAAGUAGAGGGAACUGUAGUCAGUUUUCACUGAUCCAUGAUUGGAGAAAUGAAAGCGGCCCAUUAAAGAGGAAUGCAGUGCCAAUACCUGUGAGUCAGUGUACGUCCCUCCAUCCACAGGCACAGAGCUCCCACUGAAAACAUUACCCACUCGCUCACACGAAGGAAUUACACAUAGACUUCUAGACAAGCUGCUGUUGCUGCCUGCAACCACUGCAGCAUCCAAUCCAGCCUCCUGUUAUCCACUCUCCUCCCUCUCCUAGUGCAGUUACAAACUCUCCAUCCACGGAUCUACCAUCUCCUCUGUUCUGUUGAAUCG